rnacentral:rRNA from 1 species
GACAUAGGUUGCGAACGUUAUCCGGAAUUAUUGGGCGUAAAGGAUGCGUAGAUGGUUUGAUAAGUUAUCAGUGGCAAAUCGGGGCUCAACCUCGUGGAAGCUGGUAAUACUGUCAUACUCGAGUGCAGGAGAAGUUAACGGAACUCUAUAUGGAGCGGUAAAAUGUGACGAUAUAUAGAAGAACACCGAUAAGGCGAAGGCAGUUAACUAUUCUGUUACUGACAUUGAGGCAUGAAAGCGUGGGGAGCAAAACGG